rnacentral:lncRNA from 1 species
CGCCUGCAGAAGAAGGAUCCAGGGAAGGUACCAGACAUCACUGUGACAGCUCAUUCUCAUGGGAACUAAUCCAGUCCCAUGAGACCUGAUUUACUCCGCCCAUGACAGCAUUAACCUAGUCAUGAGGGUGGAGCCCCAUGACCUAAAUACCUGCCAUGAAGCCCAAGAAAGUUUCUGUCACCUCCACACUGUCACAUGGCCUCCUGCUCAUGAACCUUGGGGACAGACCCCACCCUAGCCAGAGCAUCACUUUGAUGUCCUUUCUUGGCCCUGACUGAGAGGAUGUAAUAGGUGACUGACAAACAUGGGAGCGCUUGGAUGAGAAUCAGCAUAUUGUACCUAAGACCCCCAAAUCCAACCCAGGAUGCAGUUUCAUCUGCGGUGGCCUCAGGGCAAUUGUGGGGCUCUGUGUUGCUUGUUUGUCAUGUUCCACACCCGCAUCUGAAAUUCGAAAUGCCUCUAGUCUCAGAGCAUUCUGGAUAAGGGAUACUCCACCUGUACUACUGAUGUUUGGGCCACCUAAUUCAUCGUGCUGAGAGCUGCCCAGCAUUUUAGGGUGUUUAGCAGCAUCUCUGGCUUCUGCUCCUUACACUGCUAGUAGCACCUCCCACCCCACUGUGACAGCCACAAAUAUCUCCAGACUAAAAUCUCCAGAAAUGCCCCCACCUGAGAAGCACUAUGUAUGCAGAAAACAAUACAGAGCAUUUCCUGUCCCUGCCUCAACUUCCAAGCCUACAUGCAGCUCUGGUAAAGAGAGCAGGUGUCAGAUAAUAUGUUUUUAAUAUUUGAAUACCAGACUUCUUUAUUAGAUUGACAGUUGCAGAGUUGUUAUUCUUUUUGGAUGUCAACAUGGUUGAAUAACAGCAAUUUUGUAUGCU